rnacentral:misc_RNA from 1 species
GUAGGGCUUCGGCCCUGUCGAGAUAGAACCCUUGCCUUUUUAAGUACCCUUCGUUUCCUCGGCGGCUCGCCUGCCAAUGGGGACCCCAAAAAACACUUUGCAGUACCUGUAACAGUCUGAAAAACAAACAAAAAUUAAAACUUUCAACAACGGAUCUCUUGGUUCU